rnacentral:rRNA from 1 species
CCUACGGGCGGCAGCAGUGAGGAAUAUUGGUCAAUGGACGAGAGUCUGAACCAGCCAAGUAGCGUGAAGGAUGACUGCCCUAUGGGUUGUAAACUUCUUUUAUAUGGGAAUAAAAUGUUCCACGUGUGGGAUUUUGUAUGUACCAUAUGAAUAAGGAUCGGCUAACUCCGUGCCAGCAGCCGCGGUAAUACGGAGGAUCCGAGCGUUAUCCGGAUUUAUUGGGUUUAAAGGGAGCGUAGGUGGAUUGUUAAGUCAGUUGUGAAAGUUUGCGGCUCAACCGUAAAAUUGCAGUUGAAACUGGCAGUCUUGAGUACAGUAGAGGUGGGCGGAAUUCGGGGUGUAGCGGUGAAAUGCUUAGAUAUCACGAAGAACUCCGAUUGCGAAGGCAGUUCACUGGACUGCAACUGACACUGAGGCUCGAAAGUGUGGGUAUCAAACAGGAUUAGAUACCCGUGUAGUC